rnacentral:rRNA from 1 species
GCCAGACUCCUACGGGAGGCAGCAGUGAGGAAUAUUGGUCAAUGGGCGGAAGCCUGAACCAGCCAAGUCGCGUGAGGGAAUAAGGCCCUACGGGUCGUAAACCUCUUUUGCCGGGGAGCAAGGGCGGGGACGUGUCCCGGCCCGGAGAGUACCCGGAGAAAAAGCAUCGGCUAACUCCGUGCCAGCAGCCGCGGUAAUACGGAGGAUGCGAGCGUUGUCCGGAAUCAUUGGGCGUAAAGAGUUCGUAGGUGGCACGUUAAGUCUGGUGUUAAAUGCAGAGGCUCAACCUCUGUUCGGCACUGGAUACUGGCGAGCUUGAAUGCGGUAGAGGUAAAGGGAAUUCCUGGUGUAGCGGUGAAAUGCGUAGAUAUCAGGAGGAACAUCGGUGGCGUAAGCGCGUUACUGGGCCGUAAUUGACACUGAGGAACGAAAGCCAGGGUAGCAAAUGGGAUUAGAUACCCCGGUAGA